rnacentral:rRNA from 1 species
GAUGGACGCUGGCGGCGUGCCUAAUACAUGCAAGUCGAGCGAACAGACGAGGAGCUUGCUCCUCUGACGUUAGCGGCGGACGGGUGAGUAACACGUGGAUAACCUACCUAUAAGACUGGGAUAACUUCGGGAAACCGGAGCUAAUACCGGAUAAUAUAUUGAACCGCAUGGUUCAAUAGUGAAAGACGGUUUUGCUGUCACUUAUAGAUGGAUCCGCGCCGCAUUAGCUAGUUGGUAAGGUAACGGCUUACCAAGGCGACGAUGCGUAGCCGACCUGAGAGGGUGAUCGGCCACACUGGAACUGAGACACGGUCCAGACUCCUACGGGAGGCAGCAGUAGGGAAUCUUCCGCAAUGGGCGAGAGCCUGACGGAGCAACGCCGCGUGAGUGAUGAAGGUCUUCGGAUCGUAAAACUCUGUUAUUAGGGAAGAACAAAUGUGUAAGUAACUAUGCACGUCUUGACGGUACCUAAUCAGAAAGCCACGGCUAACUACGUG